rnacentral:misc_RNA from 1 species
UCUCCGUUGGUGAACCAGCGGAGGGAUCAUUACCGAGUUUUUCUACUCCCAAACCCCUGUGAACUUAUACCUUUACUGUUGCUUCGGCGGGUUAACGCCCCGGAAGGCCCAUAAAGCCGCCGGAACCAGGCGCCCGCCGGGGGACCCAAACUUGUUUAUUUCUUACUUUUCUUGUCUGAGUGAAAUUUAAAACCAAUGAUUCAAAACUUUCAACAACUGAUCUAUGGGUUCUGUCAUAGAUGAAGAACUCAGCAGACCGGAAGAGCAUACGUCUGUACU